rnacentral:tRNA from 1 species
GGCCUUGUGGCCUAAUGGUUAAGGCGUCCGACUUCGAAUCGGGAGAUUGCAGGUUCGACUCCUGCCAGGGUCG